rnacentral:rRNA from 1 species
AGGCAGCAGUAGGGAAUCUUCCACAAUGGACGCAAGUCUGAUGGAGCAACGCCGCGUGAGUGAAGAAGGUUUUCGGAUCGUAAAGCUCUGUUGUUGGUGAAGAAGGAUAGAGGUAGUAACUGGCCUUUAUUUGACGGUAAUCAACCAGAAAGUCACGGCUAACUAC